rnacentral:rRNA from 1 species
UAAUACGUAGGGGGCGAGCGUUGUCCGGAAUCAUUGGGCGUAAAGCGCGUGUAGGCGGCUCGGUAAGUCUGCUGUGAAAGUCCAGGGCUCAACCCUGGAAUGCCGGUGGAUACUGUCGAGCUUGAGUCCGGAAGAGGCGAGUGGAAUUCCUGGUGUAGCGGUGAAAUGCGCAGAUAUCAGGAGGAACACCAAUGGCGAAGGCAGCUCGCUGGGACG